UAGCAUAAUAAAUUGUUUCUUAAUUGGGAACUAGAAUGAAAGGCUUUACAAUUUAUAAAUUUAUUUAGUUAAGUAAAAGAAUUUUUAUUAUAAGUAAGAAUACUUAUAUAUCAUAAAGGGACAAUAAGACCCUAGAAGCUUUAAUUUUUAAUAAUAUAUAAUAUUUUUAUUUAUUCUCUAUAUUUGUAAUAAUUUUAAUUGGGGAAAUGAAAAUUUUUAUAAUAUUUUUAUACAAGUAUCUAAUCUUUUAGUAGGAAAAUUAGUAUAAGUUACUCUAGGGAUAACAGCGCAAUAAUUUUGGAUAGGCCUUAUAUAUAAUAUUGAUUGCGACCUCGAUGUUGAAUUAAAAUAUCUCUAUAGAGUAGAAGCUAUAGCAGAAG
rnacentral:rRNA from 1 species